GGCCGAUUAGCUCAGUGGUUUGAGCGCGGUGCUGACUACAAUGACCAACACCCAGGCCGCGAGUUCGAUUCCCGCUCGGUCC
rnacentral:tRNA from 1 species